GACGAACGCUGGCGGCGUGCUUAAUACAUGCAAGUCGAGCGGUAAGGCCUCUUCGGGGGUACACGAGCGGCGAACGGGUGAGUAACACGUGGGUGACCUGCCCCCAGCUCUGGGAUAAGCCUGGGAAACUGGGUCUAAUACCGGAUAUGACCUUUCCUCGCAUGGGGUUUGGUGGAAAGUUUUUUCGGCUGGGGAUGGGCCCGCGGCCUAUCAGCUUGUUGGUGGGGUGAUGGCCUACCAAGGCGACGACGGGUAGCCGGCCUGAGAGGGCGACCGGCCACACUGGGACUGAGACACGGCCCAGACUCCUACGGGAGGCAGCAGUGGGGAAUAUUGCGCAAUGGGCGGAAGCCUGACGCAGCGACGCCGCGUGGGGGAUGACGGCCUUCGGGUUGUAAACCUCUUUCGACCCCGACGAAUUUGGACGGUAGGGGUAGAAGAAGCACCGGCCAACUACGUG
rnacentral:rRNA from 1 species